GGUGCAGUGGCUGAAUGGUUAAGCACUUGACUUCCAAACCUGGGGUCCUGGGUACGAAUCUCAGCUCUAAUA
rnacentral:tRNA from 1 species